rnacentral:rRNA from 1 species
AACGAACGCUGGCGGCAUGCCUAACACAUGCAAAUCGAACGAGAUCUUCGGGUCUAGUGGCGCACGGGUGCGUAACGCGUGGGAAUCUGCCCUUUGGUUCGGAAUAACAGUUGGAAACGACUGCUAAUACCGGAUGAUGACGAAAGUCCAAAGAUUUAUCGCCAGAGGAUGAGCCCGCGUAGGAUUAGCUAGUUGGUGUGGUAAAGGCGCACCAAGGCGACGAUCCUUAGCUGGUCUGAGAGGAUGAUCAGCCACACUGGGACUGAGACACGGCCCAGACUCCUACGGGAGGCAGCAGUGGGGAAUAUUGGACAAUGGGCGAAAGCCUGAUCCAGCAAUGCCGCGUGAGUGAUGAAGGCCUUAGGGUUGUAAAGCUCUUUUACCCGGGAUGAUAAUGACAGUACCGGGAGAAUAAGCUCCGGCUAACUCCGUGCCAGCCGCCGCUGUAA